GCGAAUGGCUCAUUAAAUCACACCUAAUCUACUGGAUAGUUAACAGUUACUUGGAUAACUGCGGUAAUUCUGGAGCUAAUACAUGCACAAAGCCCCGAACUUACGUGAGGGGCGCUUUUAUUAGAUCAAAACCAAACGGCUUCGGCUGUUCUCUUGGUGACUCUGAAUAACUUUGGGCUGAUCGCAUAGCCUAGCGCUGGCGACAUAUCCUUCGAAGGUGUGCCCUAUCAACUGUCGACUGUGGCAUAGACGCCCACAGUGGUUUUGACGGGUAACGGGGAAUCAGGGUUCGAUUCCGGAGAGGGAGCCUUAGAAACGGCUACCACAUCUAAGGAAGGCAGCAGGCACGCAAAUUACCCAAUGACCGAAGGUCGAGGUAGUGACGAAAAAUAACGAUACGGGACUCAUCUGAGGCCCCGUAAUCGGAAUGAGUACACUUUAAAACCGUCCCCGAGGAUCUAUUGGAGGGCAAGUCUGGUGCCAGCAGCCGCGGUAAUUCCAGCUCCAAUAGCGUAUAUUAAAGUUGUUGUGGUUAAAAAGCUCGUAGUUGGAUCUCGGCGGUCUGAGGGCGGUUCACUUGCUAGUGCUACUGCCCUAUAGACCGUAGUUUUGCCAGAGGUCUCAGGGUGCUCUUAAUCGAGUGUCUUGUGAUGCUGGCAGGUUUACUUUGAAAAAAAUUAGAGUGCUCAAAGCAGGCUUUUACGCCUGAAUAUUCGUGCAUG
rnacentral:rRNA from 1 species